rnacentral:rRNA from 1 species
CUAGGGAUAACAGGCUGAUCUUCCCCAAGAGUCCACAUCGACGGGAAGGUUUGGCACCUCGACAUUCGGGAAAGACAAGAAAAUUUCAGGGUAGGAAACAUUAUCUAGAAUUUCUCUUAGAUUCGAACCCAUAGCUGAUGAUAGAACUAGAAUAGAUAUCUUUUGUUUUCUACUCACGCGAGCCCAUAUCCUUUCUUUUUUAUCAAUUGCUAAUUCCGAUCCCCCCCAAUCUGAUAUUAUAGUGCCAGUGUAGAUAGAAAUUCCCUUAUGAUCUAAUUCCGAGCGGUAGUAAAUACCAGGACUUAGCAAUAUUUGAUUGAUCAUAAUUCGGUAUAUUCCAUGUAUAAUAAAGGUUCCUAAGGAAUUCAU